AGAAGGGAUGUGUGACCACAUGGCACCUGCCUCAGCUAACGUUCUUGUGACAAUGUCAAUCAGGGGGGAGAGAAACAGGCUCGCCACUCCCCACAGCAGCCUCUCCUCUUAUGACCCUGCCCCCUCUGUUUUUCUUAAUAUCCUCUGGGUCACUGAACAGUGAACAUCUGACAACACUUUCUGCAGUUUCUCCUCCUGCAAGUACACACACUCACGAACACACACACAGAGAUAAGCACACACACAUGCACACACACAGAUAAGCACAUGGACCUUCACUCUGCUCAACUCAGAUUUAUGCUAAUUCGCCCUCCAUUAUCUCUCCUCUUUUCCAGUCCUUUCCAAUGUCAUUACUAUGAUGUCACUCCGCUUGCUGCCACAGCCCCACAACUCACCCACAUGGUGCUCUGUUCCCAGGACAGUCAGUGGUGGGAGCACCAUUGCUGCCAGAUCAUUCUCUAAAAGCAAGGGCCGGCAAACAUUUUAUAAAGGGUCAGGUAGUAAAUACUUUGGGUCCUGCAGGCCCCAAGAUCUAUGCUGCAAUUAAGUCUGCCAUCCAAACAGUGUGGCUCUGUUUCAAAAACACUUCAUUCACUAGAAUAGGUAGAGGCCAGAGUUGGCCCUGUUCUUAAGCAAAACUCACUGUCACCCCACAACCAUUGUCCACACAUUCUCAGUUGUUCUUAGCUGAGGAUUAAACCUACUAAACACCUCUUCUUAUCUGAGGUUUGACAGUUUUUCCUCUGGGCGCCCCUCCCUCUCACUGUAGGUCUCAGCUUCCUGCCUCACCAAAUCGUCCUUCUUCUGAGUAUACCCAAUUGUAUGCUUCUUCUACCAAAAUUGGUUUGUUAAAAAUCUUCCUGAUCUUUCAGAUCCAUCUCUAUAAUAGCUCUGUACCCCACAGCUCUUUUCAGAGCAAAUUUAUCUCAGAGAGUCAGGAAGAAGUCAUUGGCGAUUAAUGAUCCUACUGAUAGGCUUCAGUAGAGAAGAUACUUCUGUCACCUUGUCUAAGACAGUUAGACCACUGCUCUUCACUAUAAAUUCUUCUCCUUGUGGAGUGAGGUGCCCACAUCCUCUCAAAUCUGAGCAGGCUCUGUGAUUCCUCCGACCACAAAAUAUGGCAAAAGAAACUAAGCUUUCAGUCUCAUGGGUGAGACUGGCAUUGCCACUUUCUCUGCCUGGAACUCCCUCUGGGAGCAACACCAUGGGAAGAAUAUGACUAAUUUGAGACCAGCUGCCAUAUCCUGGAUGCCAGAUGUUGGGGCUCAGGCGAAAGGUCUUAGGCGAGCCAGCCUCCUGUGCCCAGCAAGGUCCAGAUGUGUGAGCUCAGUGGUUUUGAGUCAUCCCCAUUAGUCCAUCCACAGCACCACACAUCUGAAUGGUAUCCACCUGCAGCACAGGAACCCAAGGAAUCGUCCAGCUCAACCCUGCCCAAGCUCCCCACCUACAGAAUCAAAGACAAAACACAGUGGUUGCAAUUUCUAAAGUCAUUACCUUUGGAGCUUUUUCAUAACAGGACAGUAAAUGAAUACAACAGAGGCUUCCAGGCCUGCACACCCACUCUCCCUGGUCGAUAGGAAUUUCACACUCCCAUUCAUUUUGUUAGUUGCAUUCCCCUGUGCCUAGAAUGAUCCUCUGCUGUUAAUUAUCCCUUGCAUUCUUCCUUUUAUUGCCUUUUAACAACCUUAUUUUACUUUUUCAGUAUCAUGUGAAAUAUUGUCUCCCCUAGAACUCUGUUCUGAGUUAUUCACCGAUUCUUUAAUCUCCAGGCACAUGGUUUAGAGGUUCAUCAAGGUGGUUGAGUUGUUUGGAGGAGUUUCUUUUACUGUGUUUGCCUUCUCCAGUGGGUAGCGAUUUUUUCAGAGGAAAGAACCAUGCCUUCCUCAUGUGUGCAGCUAUGCUCUUGGGGUGGUCAUUGGCCAUUAGCAGUCCCUUAACAAGCCUUUUUUGAGUUAAUCAAUGCAUAUAAGAUAUGGGAUUUGCACUCUUGAAGUUGACCUGCUGGGUUUAAGUUGAUGAAGGAAAUCUGCUGUGUUCCCAACAAAUCAAAUCCAAACUUUCCCCUUCCUCAUUUCAAAGGAAAAGCAAAAUAAGUUUUGCUCAUUUGCAACAUCUAAUGUAUUUCAGGAAAAAAAAAAUGGAAGGUAUGUUUUGCUCUGAUAAUAAGUAAUCUUUAGUUCACGGUAAUUUAAUGUGGCAAAGGUUUAUUUCUCACAUGUCACAGUCCAGUGCAGAUUAGGAGCUUCCAGGUCAACUCUCCUCCAAAGGUGGCCAGGUAUUCAGUCUUCUGUCCAAGACCUCUACCAGUACUGGAGUCCUUUCCAUCUAGUCAAAGAGAUAGCAGGAGGUAGGCUGGGGAGCACAGACCACUAUUGAUUGCAUGAGACAGAGUGAUAUAUCAUUUCUCAUGUUCCGCUCGGCAAGCACUAAAUUACAUGGUCUCCACCCCAAAACAGAGACAACUGCAAAUGUAGUCUUUUCGUGCAUCCAGGAAGAGGAAAGGAUAUGGAAAUAUACACUGUCUCUGUUACAGAGGUGACAAAGAACCAACUCCAACAACUCAUGGUUUAAAUCACCUAUUUUAUCUAUUUUUUUUUUCUUUAACAAAGGAUCCCUCAGCCAAGUGGUCCUUGAGGCUCAUUUUCUUACCUGAAGCUGAGAGUCUAGCACAAUGAUUCUCCAGUGGGAUCACUUAACCCCCCUCUCCACCAUCAGGGGAAUUCUGGCAGUGUCUGGACACAAUCUCGAUUGUCAUAACCCAGGGACUUUACCAGCCUUUAGGGGAUAAAGGUCAGGGAUGCUGAAAAUCAUCACCCACACAGGACAAGGGCCUACAGCAAAGAACCACUUGGUCCAAAAUGUUAGUAACGGGGAGGUGGAGGAUGAGCUGCCAGAGGCUGUAGCUGCUCAGUCCAGGGAGAAGCUGCAAGGAUGCAAUCCUGCUCCACGCCAUAUUCCACCCUCCAGCAAGGACACAAGUAUGUCUCUACAAGGCAGCUCCACAAUUCUCAAGGGCAGCAAUGGGGACCAAGCUCUGUGUGAGCAUUUUUAAGCCUCUGUUUUGGUCUGUUUGUCAAUGUCCCACUGGAAAGCAAUUUAGCUCUUAGGGGAAGAGCUGAAAAUUGGCUGUUUUUCAAGCUAAAAGAAAAAUGUUAUGUGAUAUUUGGAUGGAAGCCCUAUUUUGUAGCCUCAAGCUCUAUUUAAUAAAUAGGUAUAAAAAUUCAAUGCAUUACAAUAACGUGUUCCUUUUUACACAGAACAUUCACAGUGAUUUGUAAUGUUCAAACUGUGAGAUAUGGUGUCAAUUGUC
rnacentral:lncRNA from 1 species